rnacentral:piRNA from 1 species
UGACUGCAAAAUAGGUGAUUCUUGAUG